GACGAACGCUGGCGGCGUGCUUAACACAUGCAAGUCGAACGGAAAGGCCCUGCUUUUGUGGGGUGCUCGAGUGGCGAACGGGUGAGUAACACGUGAGUAACCUGCCCCUGACUUUGGGAUAACUUCAGGAAACUGGGGCUAAUACCGGAUAGGAUCUCCUGCUGCAUGGUGGGGGUUGGAAAGUUUCGGCGGUUGGGGAUGGACUCGCGGCUUAUCAGCUUGUUGGUGGGGUAGUGGCUUACCAAGGCUUUGACGGGUAGCCGGCCUGAGAGGGUGACCGGCCACAUUGGGACUGAGAUACGGCCCAGACUCCUACGGGAGGCAGCAGUGGGGAAUAUUGCACAAUGGGCGGACGCCUGAUGCAGCAACGCCGCGUGCGGGAUGACGGCCUUCGGGUUGUAAACCGCUUUCGCCUGUGACGAAGCGUGAGUGACGGUAAUGGGUAAAGAAGCACCGGCUAACUACGUG
rnacentral:rRNA from 1 species